UACGUAGGUGGCGAGCGUUGUCCGGAUUUAUUGGGCGUAAAGCGCGCGCAGGUGGUGCGGUAAGUCCGUCGUGAAAUCGCCCGGCUCAACCGGGCGGGUGCGGUGGAGACUGCCGGACUGGAGGCACUCAGAGGCCGGUGGAAUUCCCGGUGUAGUGGUGAAAUGCGUAGAGAUCGGGAGGAACACCAGUGGCGAAGGCGGCCGGCUGGGGGUGACCUGACGCUGAGGCGCGAAAGCGUGGGGAGCGAACCGG
rnacentral:rRNA from 1 species